ensembl:lncRNA
CUUUCUGUAUGCACACAAUUCCUUAGGAUGAACAAGCAGCCAUAUGUUAUCAUAAUUUCAGAAUUUGUUAUUUGAGGAGAUAGAAGCCAUAUUUGCUCCCAGGUGAUGAAUAAUUAAUAAGAAAUCACACAGGUGUUCUCAGAACAGAGGAUCCUUUCAGUUCAGCUGGUAGGAGUCUGUACUCUGUUCGGAGACGUGAUAAAAAUGUUUGUAAAGAUACUUGUUUUAUAGGAUUGUUUUUUAGAGAACUUCCUUUCUUGUGUGCAAGGAAGAUUAAUCAGGUAUAGCUUAGGAAUGCCUUUAGCAUGCUGUACAACGAGGGAAAGAUCAACUAGCCUAACAAAGAAAGCAUUUUGUUUUUAAUGUGACUGUCUUGGUCUGUCAACUAAUAAGGAGAAAAAAAGUAAGCUGUGAUCAACUUUGAAAUAGCUCAACUUUCAUCUUGCUUUAGUCUUCAAAUUGCUAUGGAUUCAGUGCCUUUCUUUGAAAGGUGAAAACUACUCAUCUGGAUCACAAGACGACUUGGGUUUUUGGAACUGGGAUAAUCUUGUGCAGCUGAAGAUGUUUGUGAGGCAAUUUGCUUCAAAAGAUCUGGCUAGAAGUAUGGUCACUGUGUGUCAGGAGCAAAAUAGGGUCACAGCUGGAACCACUGAUGGAGCACCUGGUGAAGGGGCGUAGCCAGCUCUGGGACACAGGUGGAAGCAAUCCCUCCUAAUCUCAUACAAUGGCUGGCAGCUGCAAAGGAAAAAAUCUCUACUUCGAGAUCGUCUCAUUUGGAGUGUUUGGUGGAUCUUGAUCCUUGGAAUGGGAUAUGUUGGUGCCAGAGGUUUUACAGUUCUCUUAGCUCCAUGUUGGUUUUUGGUCUCCCAUGAGGGUGGUGCCAUCUUUGUGACUGGGGAACCUGAGAGCAACAGGAAUGGUGUGGCAGGUUGCGGGACUCUUCCCCCACUGCUCUACUACACAGGUGUUUCAACUUUGAGCGUUAGCAAUGUUGAACUCAUUCUGUCAGCAUCAACAAUUUCACUUCAGGAAACAACAGGAAGGAGUUUUCCAUUCAGUGGUCAGGAAAGCUGAAAAAACUUGGAAAAGUGAACCUGCUGAGUGCUGCACUUAAAGCAUUCACUCCUCCCAAGAUUAAACUCAAGAACAACAACAAAGAUGCCAGAAGAGUAACUAAAAAGUGAAUCCUUUUUACUAAAAUUUUCAGGGAUGGCAUUUAUCCUGUAAUUGUGAACUCAAAUCAUUCAGUGGGUUUGUUUGUCUUGAAAAUGCUCUUGUAAGUACUGCUUUAACUUUAGGAGGACUAAUGGAUAAUCCCAACAAAGAAUGUGCUGGGUCAAAUUAAUGACCAGUAGAAAUCAUUUUUGAUUUUCCAAAGUACAUAGGUAUUUUGAUAACUUGGUUCAUAUGUACACUGCUGUUCAGUUUUAAUUCAAGCAUUGUGUACUUGCUGUUAAAUCACAGUUUUAAUUCAAGCAUUCAUGUUUUAAAAAUUGGGUCCAGAAGGUCUUAAAGAUAACAAAGUGAG